rnacentral:rRNA from 1 species
ACGUAGGUGGCGAGCGUUGUCCGGAAUUAUUGGGCGUAAACGGGCGCAGGGGGGAUCUUAAGUUUGGUUUUAAAGGGCGGAGCUUAAACCCGGGAUGGGAUAGAAACUGGGAUUCUUGAGGACCGGAGAGGAAAGCGGAAUUCCCCGUGUAGCGGUGAAAUGCGUAGAUAUGGGGAGGAACACCAGUGGCGAAGGCGGCUUUCUGGACGGUGUCUGACACUGAGGCGCGAAAGCCAGGGGAGCGAACGG